rnacentral:rRNA from 1 species
AUUGAACGCUGGCGGCGUGGCUAAAGCAUGCAAGUCGUACGUGCCCGCAAGGGCAAGUGGCGGACGGGUCAGUAAUACGAUCGAACGUACCCUGAGGUGGAGGAUAGCGGCGGGAAACUGCCGGUAAUACUCCAUGAUCUCUCCGGAGCAAAGGGCAACCGCCUUUGGAUCGGCGAUCGUCCUAUCAGCUAGUUGGCGGGGUAACGGCCCACCAAGGCGAUGACGGGUAGCAGGUGUGAGAGCAUGACCUGCGACAUCGGGACUGAGACACUGCCCGGACUCCUACGGGAGGCUGCAGCGACGAAUCUUCCGCAAUGGGCGCAAGCCUGACGGAGCGACGCCGCGUGUGGGAUGAAGCGCCUCCGGCGUGUAAACCACUGUCAGGGGCGGAACCAAUGAUCGCCCCCAAAGGAAGAGACGGCUAACCCUGUGCCAGCAGCCGCGGUAAGACAGGGGUCUCGAGCGUUAAUCGGAAUCACUGGGCUUAAAGGGU